CCUACGGGUGGCAGCAGUGAGGAAUAUUGGUCAAUGGGAGAGAUCCUGAACCAGCCAAGCCGCGUGAGGGAAGACGGCCCUAUGGGUUGUAAACCUCUUUUGUCGGAGAACAAAGCCCGGGACGUGUCCCGGGCUGCGUGUAUCCGAAGAAAAAGCAUCGGCUAACUCCGUGCCAGCAGCCGCGGUAAUACGGAGGAUGCGGGCGUUAUCCGGAUUUAUUGGGUUUAAAGGGUGCGUAGGCGGCCAGUAAAGCCAGCGGUAAAAUUGCGGGGAUCAACCCCGGCGGGCCGUUGAAACUGGCAGGCUUGAGUUGGCGAGAAGUACGCGGAAUGCGCGGUGUAGCGGUGAAAUGCAUAGAUAUCGCGCAGAACCCCGAUUGCGAAGGCAGCGUACUGGCGCCAGACUGACGCUGAGGCACGAAAGCGUGGGGAUCGAACAGGAUUAGAUACCCGGGUAGUC
rnacentral:rRNA from 1 species